rnacentral:rRNA from 1 species
GGAUUCGCUAGUAAUCGCGCAUCAGCCAUGGCGCGGUGAAUACGUUCCCGGGCCUUGUACACACCGCCCGUCAAGCCAUGGGAGCCGGGGGCGCCUGAAGUCCGGGACCGCGAGGACCGGCCUAAGGCGAAACUGGUGACUGGGGCUAAGUCGUAACAAGGUAUC